rnacentral:rRNA from 1 species
GAUGAACGCUGGCGGCGUGCUUAACACAUGCAAGUCGAACGAAGCACUUUCUUACGAUCCCUUCGGGGUGACGAGUUAGUGACUGAGUGGCGGACGGGUGAGUAACGCGUGGGUAACCUGCCUUAUACAGGGGGAUAACAGUUGGAAACGGCUGCUAAUACCGCAUAAGCGCACAGUACCGCAUGGUACAGUGUGAAAAACUCCGGUGGUAUAAGAUGGACCCGCGUCUGAUUAGCUAGUUGGUGAGGUAACGGCCCACCAAGGCGACGAUCAGUAGCCGAUCUGAGAGGAUGAACGGCCACAUUGGGACUGAGACACGGCCCAGACUCCUACGGGAGGCAGCUAGUGGGGAAUAUUGCACAAAUGGGCGAAAGCCCUGAUGCAGCGACGCCGCGUGAGUGAUGAAGUAAUUUCGGUAUGUAAAAGCUCUAUCAGCAGGGAAGAUCAUGACGGA